rnacentral:lncRNA from 1 species
UAGGUGGGUGUGGUACGUAAGUACAUGUGGUUGUUUACUGUGGUUGUUUACUUCAAGAAUGCUGAGCCUUAAGUUAUUUUAACAACACACUUGUAGGAUCCUGUUAAAAUAAAACACCAGAAGAUCCAGAAUUCACAGCAUUUUGGGAAAUACUUUCACAUAACCAAAAAAAUUUUGGAUAAUGAUGGAAUAGAUAUGGAUCUGUGCAAAAACAUAUUUCAAGAGAUUUUUUGAAGAUGCCAGUUAUGCAAAGGAAGAAAACCUGAUUUGAAAAAAAAUGCACACAAAAAAGAUCUCAGUGAUUUAGAGCUGGAGAAGGAAGCAGUGAUAAAAUAGUAAAACUGAUUACGAAGAAAGAAAAAACUCAUUAAGACUACAGGCACUUGAAAGUCAGCGGGAUUUUCUUGUCAAGUUAAAAAAAAAAGACAUGAAAGACUUUUUCACUCCCCUUAACUUGGAUUCAAUCUGGCUACCUCCCAAAGUGAAAGUUGGUCACAGAGGUUAAAUCUGAGAAAAAAGUGUUUUUGGAUGAAAAACCAAAAAUUCAAACUAAAAAAGAACCCUGGGAACGAGAAGAAAACGAUGUGAAGAAGGUAGAAACUGUUGCCGAAUCUGACAGAGCUCAUACCGCCCUCGAAAACUGCGUUUCAAGGUCGAAUGUCACAUUUAAUUGCCAACAAACCUAAGGCAAUUGAUGAUGAUGAUGGAGGUAAGAAUAAAGCUUUAUUUUCAACCAUGAACUCAUACCGUAAGCAAGUGAACUCACCAAAAAUGAGGAAAGUUGUUAAAAACAGACACAGUAGGUGGGGAUAACAAUCAUCUCAGUAGGUGACUAAAAUAAAUGUCCGCCAGGUGUCGGUCGCGAGUGAAUUUUGGUCAUUCGUUUCCGAGACACUCAGUGAGGACGUAUUACAAUAUGGCAUUUCCAUUAUGAAAGAAAUCUAGCCUGUAAUUUAAAAUCUGCCAAAUCACGUUAUCAGUUAUCACGUGUGGCCUGAAACUGAUGUCGUUGCUUGCUCUUGCUACUUGUAUCGGUUGUAUGUACAACCCAUGCAAGUCUCUACUUGACUGCAAAACAUCUGAGUAUGAGCUGCAGCCAGUUGGUGAAGGUGUACACAAACCCAAAUCUUGCAGGGGACACUGACUGAAUUGAUUGACCCGGCAAAUGGCGGUUCUUUGCAUUAUUCCAUCCGACUACUUGUCCAGUCGUUUCAACUGAAGAAUUUUUGCAGCGGAUGGUGGAAUAUACGCGUAGAAUAUAAAUUACAAAGUAUUAGGUCUGGAAGAAGAAAAGGUUGAGGCAGAACCCACUUCCAAAGGAGAAGAAACGAACUGAGCUUUUCUCGGUUAGCCUGUGCCGUUUCCCCUGACCAAACUUCUUCGAUUCUUCUCUAUGCGCACCUCUGCGUGGAUCUUGACGUCCAGAUAGAAGAUGCCGUUCGACUCCUUCAGCAAGUUGAAACGCUGCACGAUCAUCGACUAAUGGAAAAAUGCAUUCAGAAAUUAAACCAGAAAAAGUCGCUAGUCACAAAAAAAAUUUGCUCAUCAGAAGGUUAUCCACCUUCGAUCAUCAUCCGUUAAAUACGCGGUUGGACUUGUUAUGAUAUACCAACAUAGCGCUUGUAAGCCACCGUUACUCUGUGUAAUCGACUCCUGGACACACCAUGAUCCACAGAGAAUAUUUUGUAACGUCCUUUUCGACGAUGGGGGAUUCUUCCUUCGUUGCUGAAGCCAUCCGAAUAUCGGGCUUUCUUUUGAACGUUUCAACGGCCGCCGAUAAUCCAAUGCUGAGAUGAUGACCCUCUUCCCAGAGGAUGAAGCCUUUGCUCUUUCCCUGGUCGGAUAAAAUUAUACGUAUUAUCGUAUCGUAUUAUGUAAUUGUCUGCCUUUUACGUACAUUAGCUGCUAAAUAGUUUCAUCAAAUUUUACGAGAAAUCAAAAAAUUAUUUAGGCCAUUCAGGUUGUUUUUCUUAAUUCAACCAAUGUACAACUGUAUGUAAAAUUGUAAAUCAGGUUCUUGUUUCACCUUUUCAUUCAUCAUUUUGUAGCUUAAAUCUUGUGUUAUUUUGCAAACAAUUUUAACUUUCACUUUACUUAAAAAUUCCAGACAGAACUCCCUCUUACCUCUGGGUAUCAAUCUGGGUCGCCUCUGACCCCAAUUAAGAAGUAAAGGCCCCCUGUGUAAGAAAGGUAGGCAAAAGGAAGGAAUCCAACAUAGAAGACUUUAACGUAAACAGAAAUCUAAAAGAUUUAUUUUAUAACAACUUACAAGUGAUUUUUUUGCUACAAAAUAGCACUUAUAAACCAAUAAAAUCAGACAAGGAAGAGCAUUCACAAAGACAAAUAAGUGGAAGAACACAACUAAUUAAAUGAGACACAACACCCGUUAUUUUAUUAGGUGACAUGUUGCUUUCUCACCCUCGAUAAUAACAGCGUCAUUAUUUUUUGACGCAGAAAAAUUUGUUGAUCUAGUUAGUAGUUGUCAAUGAAAUCACUCCUAUAUCAUGUAUCAGGUUCAGGUGUCUUAAUCUUACUGCAUGGAGCCAUGGAUGACAUUGGAAACAGGAGAUUUGACAUGGUGGUCAAGUUAACAAACAACACAUUGAAUUGUGGCACCACAGACAGUAACAGCUUCAAGCACACCUUUCACCACCUCCAUUAACAGCCUGAGCAUCAAUGGCCAUUGAAACCUACAGAGAAAGAUUCAUCACAAGGCAAAGUGCAGAAUAAUAGAAAUAAAGUGAAAAGUUAAAAAAAGUGACACGAAAAGGUAGCAGUAUACGAUAUUUCGUCAAGAAUCUGGAAUCACUAACAGUUGCCAUAGACAAGGCACAUCGUCAGAAGAAUCAAGAAUAUCAACUGUGAACUGUCAAUAAGCUGCCUUCUCGGCUUCUCCUCAUUAAACCUUGGGGAUUUCGUCUGUUGUGAUGUGUGAUGCUGCGGUGCUUUUUGGUGUUUUUGGUGAAGACGAGAUGUAAAUUUGGAGAGGGGAAUAUUACGAGGAAACGUGAAAGGGUCGUGGCCGUCGUGCAGCCUACCGUCAACUAUUUGUUCAAAAUCAUUGUAUUCUACU